GAGCCUGUAGCUCAGCGGUAGAGCAUCUGACUUUUAAUCAGGUGGUCGUGGGUUCGAUCCCCACCGGGCUCACCA
rnacentral:tRNA from 1 species